CUCCUUUGAAAAUAAAAGUCGUAACAAGGUUUCCGUAGGUGAACCUGCGGAAGGAUCAUUACCAAGAGAAAUCUUUCAACACUGAAAGAUCUUUUCCUUUGUGCUGGCUUUGACCGUAUGUAAUUUUGGGACUUUAAAAUGGUUCGCAAGGGCCGGUCCCAAAAACAAUAUAUCAUCCUUAUGAAAUUUUUUCUGAACAAUUAAACAAAUGAUUUUAAUAAUCUGUUUAAAACAACUUUCAACAACGGAUCUCUUGGUUCUCGCAUCGAUGAAGAACGCAGCGAAAUGCGAUACGUAAUGUGAAUUGCAGAAUUCAGUGAAUCAUCGAAUCUUUGAACGCACAUUGCACUCCUUGGUAUUCCGAGGAGUAUGCCUGUUUCAGUAUCAUGAGCACUCUCACACCUAACCUUUGGGUUUAUGGCGUGGAAUUGGAAUGCGCCGACUGUCAUGGUUGGCCCUUCUAAAAUGUAGUUCUUGGCUGUCACCUAAUACAGCAGUUUGGCCUAAUAGUUUUGGCAUUCAUUGUCAAAUCUUUGGCUAACAUUUGCUCCAGGAGUCAGUCUUGAUAAUACAGAAAACUCAUUCAAAUUUUGAUCUAAAUCAGUAGGCCACCCCACGGC
rnacentral:rRNA from 1 species